GCCAAAAUGAGCUCAAUGUCCUGAAUCAAUAUGGCAGUGGAUUUUGACAACAUUUUAAACUUUAGGCUAGGCAUGGCCAACUUAAGUUCAAUUGACACUGAAUUGUUAAUUCCAUCGUUCAUAGGAGAAUUCAAUCAUUUGGACUCAAGCACGCUACAAUCAGACACCAUACAUAAGGAAUUGCAAUAUAACAGUAAUUAGAAUUUGGAUCGUUGAUGGAACUGCAGAGUGAUUUACCUAUGCCUAUUGCAGUGAAAUAUGCCAAAUCAAAUCAGAAAAGUAGAAUAUUCUGGAUCACUUUUUUGUUGAUGGAAAGUGGAGCUUCAAGGCGCAUUCACAUCACACAUAAAUCAAUAUUUAAAAUGCACUACCAAUGCUUGGUUGGGUUCCCAAAAUCCUGGGUGUUCUCAAAGUUGGCUAAGUUUGUUUUUCUUUGGAU
rnacentral:misc_RNA from 1 species